rnacentral:rRNA from 1 species
CCUUGUACACACCGCCCGUCAAGUCAUGAAAGUCGGGUAACACCCGAAGCCAGUGGCCCAACCGCAAGGAGGGAGCUGUCGAAGGUGGGAUCGGUGAUUAGGACU